rnacentral:rRNA from 1 species
GAGCGUUCUGUAAGCCUGUGAAGGUGUGCUGUGAGGCAUGCUGGAGGUAUCAGAAGUGCGAAUGCUGACAUAAGUAACGAUAAAGCGGGUGAAAAGCCCGCUCGCCGGAAGACCAAGGGUUCCUGUCCAACGUUAAUCGGGGCAGGGUGAGUCGACCCCUAAGGCGAGGCCGAAAGGCGUAGUCGAUGGGAAACAGGUUAAUAUUCCUGUACUUGGUGUUACUGCGAAGGGGGGACGGAGAAGGCUAUGUUGGCCGGGCGACGGUUGUCCCGGUUUAAGCGUGUAGGCUGGUUUUCCAGGCAAAUCCGGAAAAUC